rnacentral:sRNA from 2 species
AUGGAUCGCUCGGACACGCCGUCUCCCUUGCGCCGUCCACACUCGCCUGGCAGCUGCUCGCUACGGUGUAUUCGCC